rnacentral:rRNA from 1 species
CCGGGGUUGCGGACAGUGUCUGGUGGGUAGUUUGACUGGGGCGGUCUCCUCCCAAAGCGUAACGGAGGAGCACGAAGGUUAGCUAAUCCUGGUCGGACAUCAGGAGGUUAGUGCAAUGGCAUAAGCUAGCUUGACUGCGAGCGUGACGGCGCGAGCAGGUGCGAAAGCAGGUCAUAGUGAUCCGGUGGUUCUGAAUGGAAGGGCCAUCGCUCAACGGAUAAAAGGUACUCCGGGGAUAACAGGCUGAUACCGCCCAAGAGUUCAUAUCGACGGCGGUGUUUGGCACCUCGAUGUCGGCUCAUCACAUCCUGGGGCUGAAGUAGGUCCCAAGGGUAUGGCUGUUCGCCAUUUAAAGUGGUACGCGAGCUGGGUUUAGAACGUCGUGAGACAGUUCGGUCCCUAUCUGCCGUGGGCGCUGGAGAAUUGAGGGGGGCUGCUCCUAGUACGAGAGGACCGGAGUGGACGCAUCACUGGUGUUCGGGUUGUCAUGCCAAUGGCACUGCCCGGUAGCUAAAUGCGGAAGAGAUAAGUGCUGAAAGCAUCUAAGCACGAAACUUGCCCCGAGAUGAGUUCUCCCUGAGACUUUAAGUCUCCUGAAGGAACGUUAAAGACGAUGACGUUGAUAGGCCGGGUGUGUAAGCGCAGCGAUGCGUUGAGCUAACCGGUACUAAUGAACCGUGAGGCUUAACCUUACAACGCCGAAG